rnacentral:rRNA from 1 species
UACGAAGGGGGCUAGCGUUGCUCGGAAUCACUGGGCGUAAAGGGCGCGUAGGCGGCCAUUCAAGCCGGAGGUGAAAGCCCAGGGCUCAACCCUGGAAUUGCCUUCGAUACUGUCUGGCUAGAGACCGGAAGAGGUAAGUGGAACUGCGAGUGUAGAGGUGAAAUUCGUAGAUAUUCGCAAGAACACCAGUGGCGAAGGCGGCUUACUGGUCCGGUUCUGACGCUGAGGCGCGAAAGCGUGGGGAGCAAACAGG